rnacentral:rRNA from 1 species
CCUACGGGAGGCAGCAGUGAGGAAUAUUGGUCAAUGGACGCAAGGCUGAACCAGCCAUGCCGCGUGCAGGAAGACGGCUCUAUGGGUUGUAAACUGCUUUUGUACGAGGGUAAACGCAGAUACGCGUAUCUGUCUGAAAGUAUCGGACGAAUAAGGAUCGGCUAACUCCGUGCCAGCAGCCGCGGUAAUACGGAGGAUUCAAGCGUUAUCCGGAUUUAUUGGGUUUAAAGGGUGCGUAGGCGGUCGGAUAAGUUAGAGGUGAAAUCCCGAGGCUCAACUUCGGAAUUGCCUCUGAUACUGUUCGGCUAGAGAGUAGGUGCGGUAGGCGGAAUGUAUGGUGUAGCGGUGAAAUGCUUAGAGAUCAUACAGAACACCGAUUGCGAAGGCAGCUUACCAAGCUACUUCUGACGUUGAGGCACGAAAGCGUGGGGAGCAAACAGGAUUAGAUACCCGAGUAGUC